ensembl:lncRNA
CCACGAUAGCACUGUCUGCGUAUGCAGAUGACGUGAUAGUUUUUAUUACAGGGGGUGAGGAUGUUAAGGUUCUCUCAAACGCUUUAAAGGUGUAUGAGGGGGCCUCCUCAGCUAAAGUCAAUUGGGGAAAGAGUGAAGCGCUGUGGGCAGGUCAGCUUCAGAUGGGGUCUACUCCACGGUUACCAGGGGGGCUUCAGUGGGGCAGAGAUGGAAUGAAGACUUUGGGGGUUUUUCUAGGCUCCGAUGUCUUUCAAAAAAAGAACUGGGAGGGUGUAGUGGAGAAAGUGUGUGCCAGACUGUCAAGGUGGAAAUGGGUGUUGCCCCAGCUGUCUUAUAGGGGACGGGUCAGCUUCAGAUGGGGUCUACUCCAUGGUUACCAGGGGGGCUUCAGUGGGGCAGAGAUGGAAUGAAGACUUUGGGGGUUUUUCUAGGCUCCGAUGUCUUUCAAAAAAAGAACUGGGAGGGUGUAGUGGAGAAAGUGUGUGCCAGACUGUCAAGGUGGAAAUGGGUGUUGCCCCAGCUGUCUUAUAGGGGACGGGUCCUGGUAGCUAAUAAUCUUGCUGCUUCUACC